AGUGAACGCUGGCGGUAGGCCUAACACAUGCAAGUCGAACGGCAGCACAGUAAGAGCUUGCUCUUACGGGUGGCGAGUGGCGGACGGGUGAGGAAUACAUCGGAAUCUACUUUUUCGUGGGGGAUAACGUAGGGAAACUUACGCUAAUACCGCAUACGACCUACGGGUGAAAGCAGGGGAUCUUCGGACCUUGCGCGAUUGAAUGAGCCGAUGUCGGAUUAGCUAGUUGGCUGGGUAAAGGCCCACCAAGGCGACGAUCCGUAGCUGGUCUGAGAGGAUGAUCAGCCACACUGGAAAUGAGACACGGUCCAAAAUCCUACGGGAGGCACCAGUGGGGAAUAUAGGACAAUGGGCGAAAGCCUGAUCCAGCCAUACCGCGUGGGUGAAGAAGGCCUUCGGGUGGUAAAGCCCUUUUGUUGGGAAAGAAAAGCAGCAGGUUAAUACCCCGCUGUUCUGACGGGACCCAAAGAAUAAGCACCGGCAAACUUCGU
rnacentral:rRNA from 1 species